CCUUAUUGUUUUGUACUUAAAAAGUAAUUAAGAGAAGUACUUUUAAAAGCAGGGAAAGUGGAUUCUGUUUGCAAACAUCACUAUGAACUGGCAGCGAGGUGGAAUUUGUUAACCUCUGAUAACUCAUUUGUGUGUUUAUGAUGUGCUGUGUAGUUGUUGACUGUGCUGAGAGAUUUCUAGAAGUUCAAAGGGCUGCCUGCUAGGAUAAGAGUUUCUCAAAAGAGGUCAAAAGGCAUUAAUCUUACAGCUCAAACAAAAGUCAGAUGCUCAGAUGUGUUUUGCAGCAGGAAUAUGUUUCCUUUCUCCAGUGGAUAGAUUAUACUUUUUCUCCCUCUCAUCACCUUCUAGUUUCAGGUAAGUUUCAGAUAAUAUUUUGCAUUUGGAACAGUAGUUUUAAAAUCCUUGACUGUGCUAAAGGGACUGGAAAUUUAGUAAUAACUUUGCUAUAUGAUGUCUAGGUCACUGUGCUAUUGUUGAGCUAUCUACAACACUCUAGUCCUUCAGCUGUGGCUGAGCACCUGGUUCCCUGAAAAGAGACUGACAGUGUACAGAAUGAAUGUAGAACAGAUAUGACAGACUGAUAGCAUUUCACAGUGUUAUGGGUGUUGUCUGUGACAUGAGGGAUUGUUGGUUGGUUGGUUGUUGUCCUCACUUUCACGAGUAACUACAGGUUCCUGACCACCCUCUUGGGAGUUAUGACUGAAGUGUUUAUGGAGAAAUAUUGUUUCAAUGCUCUGCUGUCCAAUCUGUACUGAAUCUUUCACCACUGGUCACUAAUCCAGUGAGUAGAAGCUUUAAUGUUAAGGAGAGGAUCAGUAUAUUCAGAAGUUCUGAAUGAGAUCCAGUGGCCACAUUUUCUUAUAAGUUGAUGCUGCUUCAAUGACUUCUGGGGUUUUUUUGCUGAGGGACUUUGGGACUGCUGCAAGACAUCAGUUUAUACUAGAAGGUUUCACUGAUCUUCUAUUUCUGGGCAGUGUCUUAGAAUUACAAACAAAGUCAAAUUUAUGUCUAUUCCCCAACAGGUCAUAGCAUGGAACAAUUUAGGGUUUAAAUAGGAUACUUCCAGAAAGUGGAAAAGUUAUUUCUCCUUCAUAUUUUAGUAGGCAAAUUGAGAAGUUCAGUUCACAAUAUUGACUAAAACUGAAAAAUAGUUUUCUAUUACAGAAUAUAUUUCAUGUUUGUUUGUUUGUUUGUUUUCCUCUCCCUAAUGUUGUUGGACACAAUCCAUAGAAGAGUCCAUGCAAAUAUUUGGCAAGUUUCUUUGACGGAGGUGACUGAUUUUUGUUUUAUUUUUAUUAUAAAAAUUGAAAGGGAAUGCUUUGCAAAAUAGAUGAUGAUACUUUUUAGUGUCCCAAUAAUCAUUUGAUCCUAGAAAAUAAAAAUCAGAUGAAGAGUAGUUGUUAUCUUACUAUAGACCUUUCUACAAUAUAUCCUGGGUUAUCUGGGGGAUCUAUUGUGUGUGUCAGGUAGCAGGUAGCUUGAGAGUCC
ensembl:lncRNA